rnacentral:lncRNA from 1 species
GAUGAACCUUCAGCCUCUGUCCCACUGAAUGCCAGGGGGCUGUCACAAUUACAGGAAAACCAAAAGUCUGCUACCUCCCAGACUCCUAGACACUCAAAGGUCACUUAGGGAGCAGCACCUGGGACACAAGCUCUGGAAGAUGAGGAAGGAUGAUGUAUUUAGGGUGGUCCUUGACAAGUGGGGUCUCAUCCAGAGGAAGGAAUCAGAAUGAUGAGGGAACUGAAAGAUCAUGGGAGGAACAGGAGGCAGAAGGCGGUUCAGUGAAUAGAAGUUAUACAGCAGCAGAUUUUGGGUCAAUGUGAGGAGGAGCUUUCAGAUAAUUAAUUGUGCCAAAAAAGAAAGAAUGACUCAG